GUGAUUUAGUACAUUCUUUGCUUAGCUUUACCUGUUCAGCAGGAGUAGUGUGAUUUGCUGAAACCUUAGGCUGCAAACUGUGAGCUCACAGUUUCCAUACGUUUUCAUAUAGGAAUAGAGUUAAUUUUCUCACUAAUUUUCCAACUAUCUGCUACAGUGCUGUGUUUUGUCUUUAGUAUGAGAAGGAAAUUGCCAACACACUCACAUUUUGGUUGUUGCUAAGUAAUGUUUAUCUUGAGUCCAGGUUUUUUUAGUUUCCCAUGCUCUACCAGCAAGCAGCUGCACCAAGAAGCACAAACAAGAAGAUUAGGAAGCUAUAACCAUCAGCAGGAGCUGCAACCUGGCAAAACAAGGACAAGGUAUGACCUGCCUACAUGAACACAGAAAAAAUAAUCCAAUAAGGUGUUAGAAUUUCCCACACCAAAAAUUACCAAGAGGUACAUGCAAAGUGCUUGAAGAGUAGAGAAGAGGUGAGCACAUGAGUUAUAAGGGUAAAAUUGCCUUAAUUAUUUCUUUGUUCUGGGUCCCUCUGCAGAGGCACCUGACUCAAGCUGACCUGCUGCCAUACCAUGCUAUUGAAUUAUUUAUUUUUAUAAAUCCAGUGCCUGAGAUCCUGCUCCUGGGGACCCAGGGUCAAGUCUACAGAAGGAGGAAAUGCAAAGGGACUCAGGUCACAGCAGGAAACAGAACUAUGCACCUUAUUGCAGGGUUUAAAACACCAGUUCUGAGGACUUCUAAGGCUACCAACUGUCCCAGGUGUCAGAAAAACCUUAUGGAAUUGCAGCAAGUUAUAAUCUUCUCCACACUUUUGAAUCAUCUGUGCUGGCAGAAAAACAGUGCAGGCCAACAGCAGGUAGCCUAAUACCUGUUGCCUUGACCUGGGUGCUGUGUUGGUGGAAUAGCUUUCCUGAAUUGUUUGCUUCUUGCUCUCAUUAUUACUAGAUGGCAGAAGAUAUGCCUCUGAUAAUGAUGGACAAUAUUACAAGCUUAUUCUGGAGGAUUUUUGCUUUUCAAAAGCAAUUUCAAAAGAAAAACUCUACAUAAUUUCUCAGUAUACCAGCUGCAUAUACACUGCUUUUUAUUACAUGAAAAGUAAAAUACUUUUCUGAUGGCAUAAGUAGUUCUAACUACAUGGGAUUAUUCACAGUAAAGAGAAUCCACUCCUUGGUUUGGUAUGCUGACUGAAAUCUACAGGAUAACAGAGAGAGGUCAGGAUUUUUCAAAGUGGUCUGAAUUAUUCUGCUGCUGCUGCCAGUGCCAAUCUGAAUUCUCUAAGAGCAUAAUUCACUAAGCACAUGUGCUGUUCUCUUUCCAAAAUCAGUGGUAUUCUAAGAUUUCAGUUAUUUGUUGGAAAAAAACGAC
rnacentral:lncRNA from 1 species